rnacentral:ncRNA from 18 species
UGGGCGGGCCGCGACUGGCGCACGGGGAGGGAACCCCGAGGGAGCGGCGAGGCGCAUCACCGCCGGACUGCCGUACGCCUGGGCAGCCGGG